rnacentral:rRNA from 1 species
UACAGAGGGGGCAAGCGUUGUUCGGAAUUACUGGGCGUAAAGGGCGCGUAGGCGGCCUGCUAAGUCGAACGUGAAAUCCCUGGGCUCAACCCCAGGAACUGCGUCCGAUACUGGUUGGCUUGAAUCCGGGAGAGGGACGUGGAAUUCCAGGUGUAGCGGUGAAAUGCGUAGAUAUCUGGAGGAACACCGGUGGCGAAGGCGACGUCCUGGACCGGCAUUGACGCUGAGGCGCGAAAGCCAGGGGAGCAAACGGGG